rnacentral:siRNA from 1 species
UCAUUUUCUUGUGUGAUGAUGUGUC